CAAAAAUCGAGAUAUAUGUCAAGAAUAGGGGGCUGCUCGCAGCAAUAACUAAAUGUGCUAAAUUGCUAUUGAAAUUACAAUAUAAUACUUAAUAUAUACUCAAUAUAUUAUAUAUUGAGUAUUAUAUUGUAAUUUCAAAUCAUAAUAUCUCGUAAAUUAAUGUACACAAUAGAUUCUGAACUCAAAAAUCUACUGAACACCACGCACGUGAAGCUGGAUUCCCCCAACAAGGCUAAUACGUCGAUACAAGAAAUUAAACGUUUAAAUGAAGAGCUUAUUGAACUAGAUGCUUUAUAUAAUAUUAAAAGAGCGG